rnacentral:rRNA from 1 species
CCUACGGGCGGCUGCAGUGGGGAAUAUUGCACAAUGGGCGCAAGCCUGAUGCAGCCAUGCCGCGUGUGUGAAGAAGGCCCUCGGGUUGUAAAGCACUUUCAGCGGGGAGGAAGGCGUUAAGGUUAAUAACCUUGGCGAUUGACGUUACCCGCAGAAGAAGCACCGGCUAACUCCGUGCCAGCAGCCGCGGUAAUACGGAGGGUGCAAGCGUUAAUCGGAAUUACUGGGCGUAAAGCGCACGCAGGCGGUCUGUCAAGUCGGAUGUGAAAUCCCCGGGCUCAACCUGGGAACUGCAUUCGAAACUGGCAGGCUAGAGUCGUGUAGAGGGGGGUAGAAUUCCAGGGGUAGCGGUGAAAUGCGUAGAGAUCUGGAGGAAUACCGGUGGCGAAGGCGGCCCCCUGGACAAAGACUGACGCUCAGGUGCGAAAGCGUGGGGAGCAAACAGGAUUAGAUACCCCGGUAGUC